CAGUAGCCACGGGAAUACAGAGGAUGCAAGCGUUAUCCGGAAUGAUUGGGCGUAAAGGGCUCGCAGGCGGUUUCUUAAGUCUGAUGUGAAAGCCCCCGGCUCAACCGGGGAGGGUCAUUGGAAACUGGGAAACUUGAGUGCAGAAGAGGAGAGUGGAAUUCCACGUGUAGCGGUGAAAUGCGUAGAGAUGUGGAGGAACACCAGUGGCGAAGGCGACUCUCUGGUCUGUAGCUGACGCUGAGGAGCGAAAGCGUGGGGAGCGAACAGGAUUAGAUACCUGCGUAGUCCCUGUCUCUUAUAC
rnacentral:rRNA from 1 species